GUGUACGUCAAUCGCCAUCUUUCUUUUUUCCUUUCACGACAUUCUUAUCAUAAAUGCGCCGUAAAAACAAGCAGAAUAAAAAAAUGUUAAUUUUUCACCUAGUUAUGUCCCAAAAUGGGAUUGAUCACAGUUGUAAAUAAUAACCAUGUUUUAAAUUUAAGAAUAUCUAAUUGCUAAUUAAAAUUUUAAAUUUUAUUUGUAAAAUAUUGAACAUUAAUUUCCUUUAUUGAACUUUUGUGCAGCAAUAAGAUCUCAUUAAUAAAAUUUUUUAAUAAAUAUUAUAAUUUAAUAGUUAUUUAUAACCUCACUUGAUGUUUAUAACCUGUCACAACAUUACACUACUAACCAUCAUAAAUAUAAAUUGAACAUAUAUAUCUCAUUAUAUUGUCGCUUUAUGAAAACAAUCUUAAGUUUUUACAGAAAAUGAACGUUGUGUUGCAUAGAGCUCCAUCUAUCCAAAUUAACUUUUUUUUAUCAAGGUAAAAGAAAUCCAUGCCAUAGGGAUUGUAAGUUAACAGAAUUAUAGGCAAUCGGAUUUCAGUGUAAUCGGAAUUAUAUCCAAUAAAAUUUCUAGGCAAUCGGAUUCUAAGUAAUCGGAAUUCUAGGUAAUCGGGAUCUAAGUCACCGGUAAUCUAACUCAUUGGUCUACACCUAAUAGACGUCUUCCC